rnacentral:rRNA from 1 species
CCCUUAGACGUUCUGGGCCGCACGCGCGCUGCACUGACGAAGGCAACGAGCUUUCCUUUACCGAAAGGUACGGGUAAUCUUUUGAAACUUCGUCGUGCUGGGGAUAGAUCCUUGCAAUUUUUGAUCUUAAACGAGGAAUGCCUAGUAAGCGCAAGUCAUCAACUUGCGUUGAUUACGUCCCUGCCCUUUGUACACACCGCCCGUCGCUACUACCGAUUGAAUGGUUUAGUGAGGCCUUCGGAUCCGCGACUCGUUUUGUGGAGAAGUUGGACAAACUCAGUCAUUUAGAGGAAGUAAAAGUCGUAACA